rnacentral:lncRNA from 1 species
UGACAAUCUGUCCACCUCCACAGUGAAAUUCUGUAUAUUUUUAACAACUUUGCAGCUGCUGCAAUCUCUUGGUUGUUGUUUAAAUUUGCUGAUAAAGCUAUUUGAGGAGGAGGGACAGUGGUAGACUCCUGAGGAGUCUGAAGAGAAAGGCACAGGCCUCUCCCUCCUUUCACCCAUGCACUCAAUGACUUGGAUUUCUUUGUAACUUAAGCCGGUGGGACACAACCAUGUGUCUUGGUCUUGGGGCUCACACUGGUUGCUUUUUUUUUUUUUUUUUUUUUUUAAACCCUCUCUGCCCAAGAAAAUUCUGAAUUGGUUUACUAAACUGUCCUGACUCUUGUGCUGAAGUCUGAGUUUGUAAGCCCACAUCUUUGAAAAGGGGUGUCUUUAAAGAACCUUCUCCACAGUUUCCACAUCAGCUAUUCAAAGAGGAAGGAGUAUCAACAGAGUGCCAUGUCAGUCAUAUCAAAACAAAGAGAAGCAAAAGAGGGCCCCAUGCCAACCAGUUGCUUUUGCAGUUGGUCCAACAACUGGAUGUUAAAUAGAAAGUGAAGUUAAAAAUGGUUGUCAGACUGGAUGAUCAAGAUGGGCCCUUCGAGUCCUGAAGCCUAUGGAGCUCUGAUCUAAAAUGACAUGAUCACACACCACUUUCCCCUCAGCGAUGCUGACUUCAGUGCACCAGAAGUGAAAUGAAUAUUGAUGAAAGAAAGGAAAAUAAAGGUUUUUGAAGAUUCAUAGAAAAAGAAUGCAUUUCCCAGAAUCAUCAGUCUCCAGGGUGACUGUACUCUUACAGCCAUGCUUGUGAAGAGAGGAGGUCCUUAAGCACUGCCCACCUCCUGUCUGUGCUUUGACAGCUGCCCUAAUGCAAUCAGGAGCCAGCAGAUCCACUGCAGAGGGAAUGUGUAAUGCAAUGAUCAUCAGGAACAGACUUAUCAGGGGUCAGAUCAAAGAUCCACAUGGCCGAGUAUCCUGUCUCUGAUCAGAUUCAAUGGCAAAUUCCUAAGGAAAAGCAAAACAGAAAUCAAGAAGUACAAAUGAAACACAUCUGUAUGAUUGCUGUUUUCCCAGAGAAGAGCUGAAAUGCAUUAUGAAAUAUUCAAAGCUUUGUUAUGUUGGUGAACUCAGAGUGUCAAAGACAGACACACAUUGUUUGAAAAGCUUAAUCUGGAAAAAAAGAGAGUAAAGUUUGAAGAAGGAUAUGUGAGGACAUAUUUAACUACUGUAAGACUUCUUGCAUGCAUAGAUGUGCAUUUAUGUGUCACAUGCUCAUCAGAAUCUACCUACACACAUCAUAUUAACGUUGAUAUAUUAAGAAGUCUUCUUUAUUAGCGUCUUAAUUUCUCGAAUAACACUUUGGAAAAAAUACUUUAUUCACAGGAUUUUUUUCCUUCUGCACUUUGGAAGAUCCUCAGAUCCUCACAGUUUACCUGAGAUGGAAAGAUUUAUGUUAUCUCAAAGUAAUGCCAGAAUGUACUCAUUCUAAUAAUUUCAGAACUAAUGAUCACAGACAGAUGACUAAAUCAACCUAGCAGCUCUUUUUCUGUGCUGAAGUCUUUCUGUAUUUACAGAUAAUAAAAGACUAGAAGUCUUAAUAACAUCUAGUAUAAUCAGCUUAAGAUUUUGAGUUUUAUAAUGGACACAUGAAACUGAUAAUUGUUUCCAGUAGGCACAUCUAUCUGGAGCUGGAAAGCUGUUUCAAAUUCACUUUUUCUAUAGAACAAGGGCUGCUCCAGAAGUAAUGCCUCCUGUUUUAUUAUGUUGGCCUACAAUGUCAGAAGCAGGUGUUCGUGGCACGGCAGCAGGAGCUGGACAUUCCCACCAAAAUUUCAUUAUAUUUUGUUGCUCUGUGACAGAUGAAAGAAGAGGGACAGUCUGAGAAAAUGGCAUUUGACAUAGAAGUAAAUAUGUGCAAUUGAAUUCCUCCAUGCAUAGAAAAAUUGUACCCAUUGACAUUCAUUGACACUUGCUGCAAGUUCGUAGAGACCAUACAGUGGGUGUGAGCACACUAAGGUGGAGGAUGGUGUGUUACAGCAGUGGCAACAGUGACGUGAAAGACAAACCACGUCUUAUGAGAAAGGCAUGCAGGCACUUGUUCAUCAGUGUCAAAAAUGUGCAAUUAAUGGUUGCUACUACACUGAAAAUAAAUGUUUUGUGGCUGAGAAUAUUCUCUAUCAAAUAGUGCUAUUGUGCUGUUUGCAGGUGGUGAAUUUUUCAUGGAAAUAAAUAGGAGGCAUUACUUUCAGAGUGACCUAUGUAUGUUCUCCACUUUUUUUGAGAAGACCUAUUGAAGUUGGCAUAAUAAAAUAAUUUAUUCAGACAUUCAGUUUUCCUUAUAGUUCUGUCUUAGGCCCUUCCUUAUUGGACAGGCUACGUUUGACUUUUCAGAGGAGAUUAGGUCAAAGUCUCCAUCAGUUGCAGGGUCAGGAUUCUUUCCAUUUCCAACUCAAAAUCAGUCUUUUUUUUUUUUUUCUUGUAUCAUUGUACGGGAAAAUAAUAAAGAAUGUAUACUUUAUUUAGGUAUGUCUAUUACACAUUUGUGAGGUGGUCCCAUUGCUUUAAUGUAGAUGGAAUCUUUGCAGUAACAUAGAGAAAUGUGUUUACACAGUUAUGUUUAUUCACUCUCAUAUUCUGCCUUUGAAAGGACAAAUGUAUUUGCCUAAACUGUAAAAUGCUUUUUGCUAAUGCCUCUGAAAUCUUUACACUUACUGUUUUCCCUUCUUCCUAUGUCUCUUUAUCCCUUUGGAAUAUGAUCCUUUUCUCUCUGUCAUUUAGAUUCCUAUUCUUGACUACUGCAAGAUUCUUUCCUGCUACAUAGGAACCUAUGUUUUUCAAGUUUUUACUUUUGACCAAAGCUGUGUUCUUUGGCUCAUUUUUUACCCUCUUAUAUAACCUUCACUGAACUGAAAAAAAUGAUACAAGAAUUGUCUUUUAAACUUGAAUGAAGCGAUAUCAAACACUGUGCUGCCUAACAUAGAGAAAUGAAUUGAUUUGGGGAAAUUAAAUAUUGAUAUUAUGCUCUCAGGGCCAGCACAAAACUAGGCAAUUUCACAAAUUUUGCAUGGACCUCUGAGAGUUAGUGUGAAAAUAUAUUAAAGUAAAGGAAGUAGGGCAAGUGGCUAAAAGAAAGGAGUCUGUAGCUGACAUGUCGGCAUUGUAAGUUUUCAGCCCUUCUAAGCAGAGCUCCACUGAAUGUAAAAUGGCAAAGAGGAGAGGGUCUUUUGUGUCUCUCCUCAGAUAGGGGCAUUGACAACCUGAUUCAUUUUCAGUACAUGCUCUUGUACCUGCAUGAAGCAACUGUAGAACUACAGAGGACUUUCACUUGAAUUUGGUCCCUAGCUUAAGCCAAACAAAAAGACUUCUCUUCACAAGCUGCAGAAAUAGUUAAAGGGUAAGAAAUUUCAUGUCGGUCAUCAGUAUCAGAAAGUACUGCUGUGAAUGGUUUUGAUUUAUUUUAGUCUAUCAAGCUGAAUGUUAAUUUUCAUGCUAGAAAGAUGUCUUUACUUCCUUGAUUUAUUAAAUAAAAAUAGGUUAAAAAAAAAAAAAGAUUCUUUUAAAGAUACUCUUAAAUGUAUCUACUAUGAUUUAAAUUAAGCAUUAGCUUUUAUCUCUAAAAUGAAGAGCUCGGUUUACUUCUCUUAGUGACUUCGGUUUUAGAAGAAAAAAUUGUGUCCAUGUUCAGUUAUAUGUUCGAAAAACACUUAGUUACAGUCAGUUACAUAUACAUCUCCAAAUACCAGUAAAAUUUCCUCCACUUGUCUGUGUGUGUGUGUGUCUGUGUGUGCAGAUAAAGAUAGAUCGUCAAGCUCUUACCAUCUAGACACUCUUCUAUGUAUUAGGAAGGGAUAUGUUGUGAAGUAGGGCAUAAGCUUAUAAUCUAAGGUCAUAGAUUUGGAACUGCCUUGGAAGUGGUGUGUGAUGCUCAGCAAGACUGCUUUUCUUAACCUUUAUUGUUUGUGAAAUUCAGAAAUGUGCUUCCUGCUCGUACUAGUAAAAAUAACUUGUCUUAUUUUCAAAAUGGAACACGUGUAAAAAACAGCAUGAAAUAUUUUUUUCUACUAAGGAAAGUUUGCCUUGCUUUCUUAAAAAUGAACCCACUAAUCCCUUCUAGAUAUUCAGCAUGAAUGUCAUUUAGCACAGUCUGAGAGCAGAUAAAUAAUCCCAUUCUUCUCUGUUCUCAUUUUCUUAUAUUUCACUGUAUGAAUAAAACCACUUCGUACACUGCUAUGAAAGAGACAAUAUUUAGAAGCCAUAGAGAAGACUAUCAAUUCAUGAAACUGAAUUCUGUAAAGAAAUUCACUCUGAAACAAAAGUAUAUUUUAAAUGUUUUUCAUUUUGAAUAAACUAUACUUCUGUAAAGAUGAAUUUGUUAAAUCAAAAAUUUCUCAAAAUUGUGAUAAAAGAGAAAAAACUUGAAAAAAAACCCAAAAAACUAAACCUCUUCAAUGUCCCCAUUCUCCUCCACAUAAAUCUUCUGUUUAAUAUCAAGUAUCUAAACAUAAACCUAAUUUAAACCCUUUUAAAAUAGUAUUUUCUACUGUGAUUUCUGUAUUAUUAUUAUGUGUUAUAUUUACCUGUAGAUCUUUAACUGAUCUAGAUGAUUUUGAACUUUCUACUGCUGACUAUAUUUAUUCUUUUACAUAUGAAAAUGACUUUACAUAGUACACCAUUUUAUGAAUAUGACUGUAUUUAUUUCUUCUAGUAGGCCGAUAGUCUUUAAGCCUUUUAUUGUUAUUUAUUUUAAAAUGGGUAUUCUGAUGAAUUAUGAGCAUGUGCUGAAACACUAUCUGUAGCUCAAGUUGGAAUACAGCUUUUUGUUCUGUGUACUUUACAGCACUUAAAUCUUUCUCCUUCCCGGACUCUCUGUAUUUUUUUUCAUUUUUAAAAGCCUUCUGUUUAUUGCUUCCACUAAUCUUUAGAUCUCUACUUAACCUCAUUGCCCACUGUUGCCCUUUUCUACAUUUAGAUUUAACCAGCAUGUCAAUUACAGUCUCUCCAGAAAAUUUCUGAAGCAUUUUCCAUUUUUAAUUUUAAAAACCCACCUUUUAAAAUGGUACUUGAACAAUAUCACAGCUUUCUUCAAGUACUGUGUUCAGAGAACUCUGUGUUCUUCCUGGUCCUUAGAAAAUGUCAGUAGAAUUGGAGAAAAGAUGGAAUGUAAAGAUAUAUGUAUAUAUAUUUAUAUAAAAAAUAUAUAUGUAUAUAUAUUUAAAUAUCCAAAAAACCUCGUGAAAUUCAUUGAAUGUACUCGCUAUUGAUACAGUCUUGAGAGAAAGCCAAGUCACAAGUGUUAAAGGGUCUAAGUCUUACACACAAAAACUGAAGCACCUGUGAGAAGUCUGAGAGAAAUCAAGAAUGGUGUAACAGGUGUAUCUGAGAAGAUAAAAUAAAAUACAGAUGACUCCUUAAGUUCUAGAGUAGGGCUAAUAAUACCCAUCUUCCAAGGGUCACUCACUGCUGGAGUUACUGUUUUUUAUUGUUCUAAAUUAUCAUAUUCUUGGCAGUUUUUAAUGCUAUCAGCAAAUUCAUUUCUCAGUUUAAUUUUAUUGUCUACAUUUAGAUAAGAUUUUCAUUUUUAGCAUUUGAGAAGGUAGAAUGCAGAAACCCAUUGUAUUUUGCUGGAUUCUUUAAAGAUGAGUUCAUAAAUAUUGAAAUAACAUUCUAGACUGUCUUUUGUUUGAAGAUUUUCCAUACAUUUUUUUCAGUUAUAAAAACAAGUUUUUCUGAAUUUGUCUUGACAAUUUUAUAAGAUUGUGUAUCAUCUAAUUGUGGCUCAGCCUUGUCCACCUUCAGUUCUAUAAGAGAGAAAUUGACAUCUUGGAGUUGUAGAGUUUUACUGCCCAUGUUCAAUUAUUUCUGUCACUUGGAUCACAAUGUGUAACUCUAAAUAAUGCCUUUCUUUCUUUAGUUAUCUUCUUUACCUUUCUAGCAGGUAUGACAAAACCACACCCUUUAUAAAUCAUAAAUAAUUUACUUCUUAUAGCAUGAAUUUUUCUUAGUUGCUACAAAUGAAAAAUAUUUUUGGUACAGGCAAUUAAUGUUCUGAUGGUGCCAGAAUAGGUGCUGGAAUUUAUUUGUUAAUGGCACUAAUUUUGUAUGUUAAAAAUAAUAUGGUUCUCAGCUCUCUGAAUGUGAGAACUUCUCAAAAGGUCAAAUCUGUGUGGUUCAACUAAAAAGAGAGGUGGAAAUUAACUUUGGAACAGGAGGACAUAGUUUAGUUCAUUGGGAGCCAAUUAGUUCUCUUCCAGAAUACAGAAAGAGUAUUGUAAGCAAAUGGUACUAUAGCUGCAUUUGAGUAAAGACACAUGGAGCUGCAUUACCCAACUCAAUUUUUAUGUUUUAAACAACCAUUUCCAUUACCCCUGUGAAACAUCACACAUGGAAGUCUCUUGAGGCUCUGUGUUUCAUUGGUGACUUUCUAGCCUACUUCCCUCAGCCUGCCUCAUUUUUUAAUUUGCACAGUACACUUGAGUUCUUUGGUUAGACAGUCAAAGAAAAGAUCUGUCAGAGGGAUUAGUAAGAAGACUUAAGGUUGUCUCAAGCAAGCUUAUGGUAAAAGGAUUUAAACAUACCAAGCAUUAGUGAAAGUGGUUGGCUAAAGAGGUGCAAACUUUCUACCUGUAGCCUGCUUUUCUGCAAGUCCCCAGUCAGUGAGCAGUUAUUCACCAGCCAUCUACAAAAUACACAGAGGUGUUCAUAUUCUUAAUGAUGUAGUCUAAAACAGUGCAAGGAGCAAAAACAAUAGAAGCAGAAAGAAAGAAUAUCUCAUACCGUCUUCCCCUACUACGGUACAUACUAUAUAAUAAAAAUGUGUCAUGGUUUUAUGAUUUCUGUUAUUGGUAUUCCACAUCAUAACAUCAUGUAGUGCACUUGGUGUUAAAGAGUUAAUGCUCCAGUUGCAUGGAUUGUCAGUAUUUUUGGGUACCUGGUUCUCACAAGAGAAGAACUACAUAAACCAGCAGACUUUUAUUGUUACAUUUCCUGUUUCCAUUUUCCAUUUAGAGGGAAAGAUAAAACUCCCUAGUCAUGAGAUUGGUUCCUUCUUUUACUGCUUGCCCCUGCAGUGUAUUCUUCCUAGCCAUCUCACCUUCAGUGCUAGAGUAAAGUCUUCAGUUUUGGACACUUUCUCAUUUAUUUGAUUUAUUAGCUUCAAUUCCAAUUAUAUUAGAUUACAUUGUGUUAUCUCACAUUCCACUGGCAUAUUUAGUGAAUUAGUUUUCUCCCUUAGCUUGUUGCCACUGUUUCGUUUUGUUUUUAGGCCCUCCUCUCUACCUUUUUCCCCUUUUUCUCUUCCCCCUAUCCUGGGGCAUGGGUCAGUGGGUCCCUCCACUGCACUAGUCAUGGAACUGGGCCAAACUGGCCCCAAACCCAUGCCAAAGUGUGAGAUUUGCAGCUUAGGAAGUCCUACUUCUGGGAAGCUUUAGUUCUGAAGUACCUUGAUCCUGCAGGUGCUUUUGCAUCCUGUCACCCACAGUCUUGCUUACUCUGAAUACAUGCUAUUGCAUACUCUAAGGCACUCUGAAGCUAAGCUUAUACAAUAUGUUUAUAAUCACAUAUUCAUUUCUAAAUGCAUUUUGAUUUCUACUCACUUCAUUGAUGUUUUACAAUAUUGAAUAAUUAUGACGAUUGGUUUUCAGUUAAAGAGCAAAAAUCUAGAGACUCAAAAUACUCAGGUGCAUGAUGAUUCUCCCAGAAAACAGCUACUCAUCUGUUUGGCUGGAGACUAUUCACAUUUUUACCAUGAAACACAUACUAUGAUAAAUAAAAUUGUAUCCUUGGAUAAUUUCUGUGUGUCAGCAAGCAGUUCUAGCCAGGGUGCCCAUGUAUGGUUUCUGACAUGGAAUGACAUGUGUUCACAACUGCCAGUCAUUCUAACUGAAAGAAGGGACAGUCUGCACACAGCAGGGUCAUGACAUCUAGCAGCCUGAGUAAACAAACUAGUGUUUCUCUCUCUCCUUCUUCCUCUUUCCAGACUGCUAAGGAGAAGUCAUAAACAUUUUACUUUUUUGGUUAUUUACUAGAACAAGAAGUCUCUGCUUUCCUUUUUUCAUCCAAGAUGGCACUAUGGAUAAUUUGUAAUUUAGAAGAUUUAGAACAUUUCACCUACUAAGUAUGAUAAAUACAAGCAACCAACAGAGGAAAAGUUACAUUUUAUUUCUUAUGGCAGAUUGUUGUAUUAUGCUUUGCUGAAAUAUAUACAAUUAAAUUGUCCAUCAACUAUUUUAUCAGCAACUCAUUAGAAGAAACUGUACAUUUAAAAUAGAGUAAUAAUGAACUUAGAUACAUUUUUUCAGCACAGCUGAGAGACUGCUUUCCAGUGCUGCCAUAUAAGGUAAUCAGGAAACACUGGACCCUGGUUCUGCUUAUUCAAGUGUAACCAAGAUUUGGAGUUUCCAAGUCCACUUUAAAAACCUUUAACUACUUAAAGCAUUGGAAUAAAGCUGACCACAAAGAUGGAAAAGAGAUGGAAGAGUGAGAAGAAGGAAAAAGAAGUUUUGAAGCAGAGACCAGAAAAAGAAAGACUGCGAAUGAUUUUGAAGCUCAUACAAGAUGUAGAAUGCCAAUCUCUUCUCUGUGUUCUAGAGGAGCUUUAAACAGCAAGCAAUAGAGUUGGCCAACUGAAGCACAUUAUUCAGCUGUGUUCUCUUUGGAGAUAACUGGUAAUUCUGAAAGGGAGAUGAGGAAGAAAGAAAGAAAGCUAUAACUUCUUGGUUUGUAAAUCUGCUGGUGAUAUAGUGAACUUAGAUUAAUUUCACAGCUCAAUCUUGAUAGUUAAAGUUGUGUUUUGUGUUUGAUCAUCCUAGGCCUGAGAACAUCCCUGUUAACCUUGUUGCAGCUCUCAACAAUGUAAAAAAAACUUCCUACCAAAUUAUAUUUUUAAUACACCUUAUGAUUUGGUAUAGAUAUGAAGGUAGAUGAAGAGGACAUAAAGAGAUACGUAGAAAAAGACCCAUAGUCCUUAAAAGGAGUUUUGCUCACUUCUGUAAAGGGACUGCAACAGUCCUUGUAGUAUUUUUUUUUGCAGGUGCUAUAAGAAUUACUCUGAAUGGCAGAAGAUGAACUUUGGCAGAAAAUACAGCGGAAACUUCAGCAGCUUAGGCAUGGUUAUAUACAGGUCUCAAUUGCUUUUAACUGAAGUCUUGUUUUGUUGUCUACAAAGGUUGUCUUGCUUUCAGAAAAGUAUGAGCUAUGUUUCAAUGAGACAGAAUUCUGAAAAAAAAAAAAAAGUUUGAUGUUAUUUACAUUCACUGUAACUAAUCUGAAUCACUGAUUCUGGUUGGGACUGACAUCCCUGUCUAAGUCCCAAACCUAGUAUGAUUUUGUAUGUAGAGCCAGUUUAAAGUCACAGGCUCAGCUAGGUCUAGCUAGAACUGAUGAAGGAUAGAAGAUACAGAUUAAACAUUUUUCUCUAUUGUGAGACUAUAAAUAAAAAAUUGAAUGUGACCUUAUAACCAAAUGAUUUAUUCAUUGCUAUAUUAUUGAUAUCAAUGUGAAAUGUGUUACUUUGCUGAGAAAGGGAAGGAUUUUGUGAGGAUACUGAAUGGUUGUUUUUUUUUUAGUGUCCUUAAAGUACAAACUGAUGGGGUCUGCUUCCUCUGUAGAAAUGGUAGUUUUCACUCAAAAGAAUAAAUGCUGUCACUUUAUGCUUCACAACUCUAGAAUGUUUCAGUUGUAGUGAAAACCCAGGAGUUUCUUGGCUUUUUGCUUUUAGUGGAGGACACAUUACUCUGUGAGAGACUUUACUUGGACAAAAUAACAUAGAAAAUGUUAACUUAGAAAAUAGACCAAAUAAUCUGCCACAGCUGUAGUUGUUUUUGUUUUGUUUUGUUUUUUACAAAUCAGCAAUGAACAAUUUGAUCUAAUUCAGAAAUAAUCAAAGGCUGCAUAAAUAUUUGGCUGCUACAAGUUUAAAAUAGUACCACGAUAAAAUUUCACGUACACAUGUCUUCUAAGAACAUAUUUCUUGUAAAUUUCACUGCACUGAAUAAUAACUUGAAUUAUUUUUAUCAGUACAAAAGUAAGUCUCCCUACACUACUCUAUUUUUUAUUAACAAUCACUUUUUAAUCUGUAUAUACUAUAUACAGCUAGUAGCUCUUUCAUUUUUGUACUUUCAAUCUGCUUCACAGGGUAUUAAUUAUGCACAAGUUGGCUACAUCUCUUCUGUCAUACCGAACAGCCACAUCUGCAUUUAAUCAUUCAUUAUAUGCUGUAAUCUACCACCUAACUUCCAGUCACUUUUACUAUCUAAAAGCAAGUAGGAGGUACUUAAGAAUCUAUCCCUGAAUAUCUAAUUGCAUACUUAACUGAUUAGUUUUAUAUGACAGUCUCUUAUAAACAUGCUAAUAAGUUGAAGACUCUUAAUUUGUACCUACAUGCUACUGAUUUCUGUAUGAUUAUACAUAAUGAACUCAUCAUGAUCACACUUAGUGCUGCUCUUCUGAGAAUCAUGAAAAUAAAUGCAGAGUUUGGAGAGAAGGAUGUAGACAAAGGCAGAAAUGAUCAGUAAUAUGUUGCUUUGUAAGAGAUUUGAUGAGAAACUUCAUACAGGUUUGCUUUGAGAAAUGGCUUAUUCCAAAUAGUUCAAGAGGAAAUAAAAGGACCAUGAAAACCUGGACAAUGAGGUAAACAAAAGUGAAAAGAAUCCACACAGAUGCUGUUUUACACCUAGCUCAACUAAUAACACCCAUCAUGCUCAGAGAUACAGGAAAAAGUGAAUCCAUGCCAAAUAAACCACCUCAGGUGUCAGUACUGGUGACUUCUAGUUACUUCCAAGCAUCUCAGUUAUUCACAGAACAGAGGCAAUGGGAGAGGUCCAAAGGAACUCUGUAUUGCCAUGUCACUGCUUUUCUGAGUAUUUCAAUACCUCCAUUAAAGUAAUGCCAUUACUAUGACCAAUUCACAAGCUUGAUUGAAAUUUCUUUAACAAUGUACAAUGUUGCAGACAGGAUGAGGUUAUCCAUUCCACCUCUGCUUUUUCUAGGGCAAUAGCUGAGAAAGGGAGUUUUAAAGGUAAACAGAAAUCUGAGGUAAUUCCUAAAGAAAAUGAACACUUACUAACUUUAAAGUAGUUAUUGUUAUACAAAGUGAGUUUUUGGGGUUAGCACAAAAGAAGAACAGCAUUUAAGGUCAAUAAAGGUGCAAUACUUUCCAUUGUUCACUGCAUUUCUACAUAAGUCUUAGAAACAGCACAAUCUGUAGCUCUCUUAUACAUAUAGGUAGCCUCUGGAGCUAUAUCACGGUUGUCCGUGAUUUUUCACUUGUUAUUAAAGGGCAUGAAUUCUUCCAAAGGGCAAGGCUAGUGCAUUUACUCAGACUCCUACGCAAAUUGUCCCAGGAUCCUAAUUUGAUGUACCUCAGUGGAAAGUGAUUAGGGUCAGAGGACUUAAGCUGUAUUCUAACACAUAUUAGAUUUAAAUAAUCCUGUCUCAUCUCUUCUGGCUCCUAACCAGUUUAUUUUAACACUAAGUGAGUUUGUUUGUAAAGUCUAAAUGAAUUUUAACAGCUUCUAGUGACAUUUUACUAGAAAACAGAAAAACUGUAGCAAUUCAGGUUCCAAAGUGUAUCAGCGUUCAAUUUUUGAGGGUUUCUCAGUAGACUGAACUUUCCAGAGAUCCUUAUCAUUCAUAUAAAAUAGAUUGGGAUAAUAUCCUCAGAGUUAAUCUAUUUAAAAUGAAUAGUGAUCUUAGAUCCUUUCGGCAUUGGAUUUGUUAAGAAGAAAGUGAUAUUACUGCAGAGUUAGUCCCACUUCCAAGGCCAUGCAAUGGCUUUUCUCAAGCAAUUAAGAAGCUGUACAACUUCUACCUUUAAGAUAACUGUGGAAGAUAUAAUCUUUUAAGAUUAGACUACUCUACUGAUAGAAUUUAUCUUCUUUUCUCUCAUUAAAUAUUUUAAGAUUCUAAUUAACAGACCCUAUUCAAGAAUUUCUGAGAUGAAUGAAGGCAUAUUCAUAUUUUCUGAGAGCACUUUAUUCAGUCUUAUUUUAAAAGCCUAAAUUACAUAUAAGGUAUAUAUGUGUUUUUAAAUACAUUAGUCAGAAGGAAAUGAGUAAUAAUGCUGCACUGUAUUGUGCUGAUCUGUCCAGGCAUAGAAGAGGAUAAGUUGCUAUAUUUAUUGAUGCAAAACUUGUGGAUAACCUUGGUAAACCUUGCAUUUCCUCUGCAAUAGCUACAAAUGGUGGUUAAUGUUAAGCGAGAAAUUUGCAGAAAGCUUAUUAAAAACACAGCCUGUUUCUGCAGACUUUGUUUCACUUUGACAUUUUAACCACAGUUUACCAGGAUGUGUCAAAACUUCUUGACUAGUCAUAGCAAUCUCCUCAGAAAAUAUGAGGAAAAGGUUUCUGUGCUCUUUCUUUCUUUCCUCCUUCUUUCUCUAUCCAUAAAUAUUUCAUAGAAUCAUACAGUUUUUUGAGUUGGAAGGGACCCUUAAAAGUCAACUAGUCCAACUCCCCUGUAAUUAAUAGGGACAUCCACAGCUAGAUCAGAUUUCUUAGAGUUUGUUCCAGCCUGAUCUUAAAUGUUUCUAGGGACUGGGAGUCCACCACCUCUCUGGGCAACCUGUUCCAAUGCUUCACUGCUGUUAUCAUUAAAAAAAACUUUGUUCUUAUACCCAAUCUAAAUCUCCUCUCUUUUAGUUUGAAACUAUUUCCCCUUGUCCUAUUAGAAAAGACCCUACUAAAGAGUCUGUCUCCUUCCUUCUCAUAGCUCCUUUUAAACACUGAAAGGUCACUAUCACGUUUCCCUGGAGCCUUCUGUUCUCCAAGCUGGACAGUCCCAGCUCUCUCAGCCUGUCCUCUUAAGGGAGUUGUUCCACCCCUUGGAUCUUUUUUAUGGCCCUCCUCUGGAUGCUUUCUGACAGAUCCACACCUCUCCUGUACUGAGGACUUCACAUCUGUCAUUGCUGCAGAGACCAGCUUUAGAGCAGGUAAGACUGCACUGAGUAAGGGACCUAAAGCAAAAAGGCCGACCAAAAAGCUCUUUUUAGGGCUUUUUUGAAGCUAGAAAAAGCACUGUACCAGUGCCAGGGGGCUGGCAGCUUGUGGGUGGGCUGCUGAGCCAGCAGGGGCAGAGCUGUCACUGCCCACUCUUAUCUCGUGAGUUCGACCUUGACCCUUUGCUGUGUGGCUAAAAUCAGCCUUCUGGAUGGCAGAAACAAGCUUCCACCCACUUAACACACCAGGUGAGAAAAGGGUGUUACCUUCCACUGACAAGAGGAAGGGAAGUCAGUGUGUGAGCACAGCCCACACUACCCAUACAGUACUGCAGCAGCGGGUGUGAGUGGUGGGUCUUGUGGCAGGACACAUGAGUGUUUUUUGUCUUUGCUCAGACCGGGUCUCCUAUGGACAGACCCUGAGACCACCAGUUCAAACAUGGUCUCUACCAGGCAGCAGGCUUUCCCCAUGAAAACUGUGGAGACCCAGGCAGAGGGCCUGCCCAGAAAUGCUGCCGUUCAGGUCUCUGGCUGCAGGGAGUGCCUGAGCCUGCUGCUGCCAAGGGAGGAUGGGAAGGAUCCCACCUGCGUGAGGUGCGAGCAGGUAGACAAGCUGCUCAGCCUGGUGGUGGAGCUCAGGGAGGAGGUGGAGAGAUUAAGAACUAUCAGAGAGUGCGACCUUCUAGAGGCUUGGGGCAGAGUGGCUGGAAGACUGUGUAGAGAUGGACCUGAGGGUAUUGAUUGAUGCUCAACUGAACAUGAGCCAGCAGUGUGCCCAGGUGGCCAAGAAGGCCAAUGGCAUCCUGGCUUGUAUCAGAAAUAGUGUUGCCAGCAGGAACAGGGAAGUAAUUAUCCCCCUGUACUCAGCACUGGUGAGGCUGUACCUUGAGUACUGUGUACAGUUUUGGGCCCCUCACUGUAAGAAAGACAUCGAAGCCCUGGAUCGUGUCCAGAGGAGGGCAACAAAGCUGGUGAGGGGUCUGGAGCACAGGCCUUACGAGGAGUGGCUGAAGGAGCUGGGAUUGUUCAGUCUAGAGAAGAGGAGGCUCGGGAGAGACCGAAUUGAGAACGAUUCUAUGAUUCUGUAUUCCUCUUUUCCCAAAAGACUUAAUUCAAUACUCUUCCUAAACUGGUCAUUUGUUGGAAGCAUCUAACUUUACCACUAUAUAAAAUACAUAAACCAUUUUUCAUUACAUAAACUAUUAUCUUAACAGAUCAGGAUAAGAAAUGAAAAGUUGUUUUCUUGUGACACCAGCAAGGACAUCUAUGUAGGGGAAAAAAGGGAAUGUAUUAAGAAAGUAAACAACUGAUCACAGACAUCUCGGAGAAUGUGUGGAUCUUUUACACUGAGUUAUAAUAUCAAACUGCACUAGGGCAACAAGGAAUUCAAAAGGUUAUGCUUCUUUGCAUCUGUAAAUACAUGGAUGUUUGGAAAAUAUGUUUAAUGUUUUUAAAAAAUGAUUCAGCAAAGAAAAAGAGCAGUGCAGUGAGAUAAAAAGAUGAUUUAUCCUGUGGCCAGUGUGCUUCAAAUUGACCAGAGAAAGUAAUCUAAUCAGACUUUAUUAAACUGAUUCUGCAGUACAUCCCCAGUGCCUGGAAGCAUUGUCUGAGCUGGUCUGCAGUCUAAUCCUACUUUAGGAGGUUUGCCAACUAUUUAGCCUUUUCUAAGUAGAAAUAGAGCCACAAAAAUUUAAUUACUGCUAUUUUAAUAAGGAAAAUGUAAAACGUUGAUGAUGUCUGACAUAUGAAAGAAGCUGCAUUAGUGACAACAGUAUUUAAAAAACUCUGAUCAAGCACAACCUUUUUAUUUUGAGCAAGAUAUAGCAGAUAAUGUAGGCUCAAAAACCAGCCUAAAGAGCUGCUGCCAGGUUAUAUAAUCUUUGAGCACUCAUCCAAGGCAGUCCUGAAGCCAAACACAGAGAGGAGAAUUGCUAAGGGGUUGUGUUUGCUUCAACAGUUUCCCCCACUGCAUGACAAUCUCUGCCCCAUAAGCUGGCAGUGUUGAUGGUGGCUGUUUCAGAUUUCUAUAGAAAAAUAAGCUCAAUUCAUGUAAAAUAAUGUUUCCCACAGAUGACCUAAAAAGCAUGCCCAGAAAAUAAGUGCAGACUGUUGUCAGUCCUUGCUGGCAUUUGCAGAUGUCUAAGUUUCCUUCCAUCAUCCUUUGUAUGCUAGGUUAAAUCCUAGAAAGUUGCCAUGUCUCCUGGUAAAAAGAUUGCAUGGAGAAAUUCCUCUUCAAUCACACUACAAUGAACAAAGUUCCCAUGUUACAUUAUGGCAAUAAGUCACUACUUUUCAUGCACAUCUGUCAAUUUCAGGAGGUAUUGCAUUCCCUUGGGUGCAAUCCCCUUCAGUGUUUCACUGAAGAUAGGGUUACUGCUCUGUGUGGUUUCCUUUCACACAAGAGUAAUAUAGCACUUUUUCACUGAAAAAGGUCAGAAAAUUGCAACUUGUUGAUUACACUGUUCAAGAAGUUGCUCUCUCUUUUGCAUUUUGCCUGCAGCACUGCUACUGCACAAUAUUCCACUUUGAGUCUUGGGUCUACUUGUGAUUCUGUUUGUUUCUCCUGGACAAGCAGCACUACUUGUGUAAUCCUCUGAUGCAUAUUGAUGCCUUAAGUUGCUAACUCUGGCUUCUCUCCUUCUGCAUACUUCUAUUUCUUCAUGAACUUGUCCUUCAAGGCACAUGUCAGUAUUUGUUGUGGAAUGGACAAUGGCUGCCAGUACUCAAGUACUGUCUUUCCUUUUUGCCUCAACCAG